GUUGUUAAGUAUGAAAUUUCAAUCUUGUAAUUCAUAUCUGUUUUUAUGUAUAACGAGUUGCGAGUUCUUAGAGAACUCGGCCACUUUUUGACCCUUACAUCAGCUUACAUCUGCUGUAAAAACUGAUUAAUGAUAUUCCCUUUUACAGUGGCUGCCGUAAAUGGAAAAAAACUAGUUUUUUUUAGAAAAGUUGAUUUUUUGAGUUUUGGUAAGGUUUUUUUUUAUAAAAAUUUUUUGUAUGGCUGAAUUUUCUAAGUUUUAUAAAAAUUGUUUUUAUAAAAACAAUUACUGUAUGUACAAAUGGUGCGAUACUAUGUGGUACUAGUCAUGGACUUAUUAAUGAUAGCUUCAACCUCUAGUGGAUCGUAACAAUAACAGUUCUUACUAUAGCUGGAUAUAGGGAAGCCUCAUUUUUGACAUUAAUUACCAUAUUUAGUGAAUAAUUGUGAAAAAAAAACCACUUACAAUCUAGAUUUAAUUUGGAUAAAUCACUGACAACACCGACUGAAUAUUUAAUUAGACUCUUUAUGACAAAAUGUGUAAGACACGUAUUCGAAAAUUUAGUUCAUUAAAAAUCUCUAGAAAAACAAACGAUUUUACAAUCGAUGUUAAUAUUAAGUUGAUGGACGAAAGUCAAAUGUGUUAUAAACCUCACUAAAAACUCAACAAAAAAAACGAUUAAAACUUUUGCAUCAAAGGCUAUAAUAAUUACAUUCAAGUUUUGUUAGCUUUAAGCAACUUUUAGGUUGAUUCAAAUGGCAUAAUCGGCUUUGUAUUAGUCAUUUCUGGUAUUUAUCCAUGAUAGGGAUAAGCUUUUGGUACUGAUUACCGAUAUCAAAUUUUCGGUACCGAAUUUUACGUUCAAUUACCGAUACCGUAACGAAUAUAUUGGUGCCGUUCCUAGUUUUGACGAAUUUCGGUACCGGUGCUGGUUCGGAACAGUACUGGUACCACGUUUAUCCCUAAUCUAUGAUUUACAUUUUGAAAUCUGUUAUUGGGAAAGCCCAAACUCAACCCGUAACUCAGACAACAGGUUAAGACAAAUCAUACGUGAGACUUACAAUUUACUUUCGCAAGCAAAAAUACUUAUUUUUAUGUUGGAUGAUGGUUACGAGAAAAACCUCUCAUUAUUGUAAUGAGACUUACGGUGUUUAGUUUUACAGAUUAAUCACCAUGAAAACUUGUUACGAUCAAAGCCUCAUUAUCCCGUUGAGCAUAGUCUAAACCAGUCUUAGAUUUGUGUUUCUUCAAUUAGUUAGAUUAGUGAACACAUUUUCAAGUCGAAACCUCGUAAGUUUUACAUGUAUUCCACUAUAGAGGGUCGUUCUUUUUGUUCUUUUGUGAUUUC
rnacentral:lncRNA from 1 species